rnacentral:rRNA from 1 species
CAGUAGCCGCGGUAAUACGUAGGGUGCAAGCGUUAAUCGGAAUUACUGGGCGUAAAGCGUGCGCAGGCGGUUUCGUAAGACAGAUGUGAAAUCCCCGGGCUUAACCUGGGAACUGCAUUUGUGACUGCGAGGCUAGAGUGUGUCAGAGGGGGGUGGAAUUCCACGUGUAGCAGUGAAAUGCGUAGAUAUGUGGAGGAACACCGAUGGCGAAGGCAGCCCCCUGGGAUAACACUGACGCUCAUGCACGAAAGCGUGGGGAGCAAACAGGAUUAGAUACCCGUGUAGUCCCUGUCUCUUAUAC